GCUUAUCACCAUUCCAGAUUGCAUAUACCCGAUCUCGUUUGAUCUCGGAAGUCAAGCAAUCUCGGGCUUGGUUAGUACUUGGAUGGGUGACCGCUUGGGAAUACCAAGUGUGAUAAGCA
rfam:Ciona savignyi cont_63006, whole genome shotgun sequence.